AACAAGGUUUCCGUAGGUGAACCUGCGGAAGGAUCAUUACUGAUUUGCUUAAUUGCACCACAUGUGUUUUUCUUUGAAACAAACUUGCUUUGGCGGUGGGCCCAGCCUGCCGCCAGAGGUCUAAACUUACAACCAAUUUUUUAUCAACUUGUCACACCA
rnacentral:rRNA from 1 species